UACGAAGGUGGCAAGCGUUGUUCGGAUUUACUGGGCGUACAGGGAGCGUAGGCGGUUGGGUAAGCCCUUCGUGAAAUCUCCGGGCCUAACUCGGAAAGUGCGGAGGGGACUGCUCGGCUAGAGGAUGGGAGAGGAGCGCGGAAUUCCCGGUGUAGCGGUGAAAUGCGUAGAGAUCGGGAGGAAGGCCGGUGGCGAAGGCGGCGCUCUGGAACAUUUCUGACGCUGAGGCUCGAAAGCGUGGGGAGCAAACAGG
rnacentral:rRNA from 1 species